rnacentral:rRNA from 1 species
AGCGGCGGACGGGUGAGUAACGCGUGGGAAUGUGCCCUUUGGUACGGAACAACUGAGGGAAACUUCAGCUAAUACCGUAUGUGCCCUUCGGGGGAAAGAUUUAUCGCCAUUGGAGCAGCCCGCGUUGGAUUAGGUAGUUGGUGAGGUAAAGGCUCACCAAGCCUACGAUCCAUAGCUGGUCUGAGAGGAUGAUCAGCCACACUGGGACUGAGACACGGCCCAG